rnacentral:rRNA from 1 species
UACGUAGGGGGCAAGCGUUGUUCGGAAUUACUGGGCGUAAAGGGCGCGUAGGCGGCACGGCAAGUCGGGAGUGAAAGCCCGGGGCUCAACCCCGGAACUGCUCACGAAACUGCCGAGCUAGAGUGCGGAAGAGGCAACUGGAAUUCCCAGUGUAGCGGUGAAAUGCGUAGAUAUUGGGAAGAACACCGGAGGCGAAGGCGGGUUGCUGGGCCGACACUGACGCUGAGGCGCGAAAGCCAGGGGAGCGAUCGGG